rnacentral:misc_RNA from 1 species
UGUUUGGUUUGUUACGUGUGGUUGGCUGCGGCGUUUGCAACAACUUCCAUGCUUUCAGACCUCUUCAGUUGUGCGGCAAGGCUUGUAUCGCCUUGAGCGUAUUGUGGGUUUUCUGUGUUGGCUACCUAAUCAACGGUAUCGUUUGGAUUGAUCAAAGUUUGAUUUCGUCUUCCGUCGCGUUUGCGGCGUGAGGUGAACCUUGAUGCGGUCUCUUUGAUCCAUCUCGUCGAAGCACAUGCUUUGACGUUGUGGCACAUUGAGCAUUGCUUGGUGUCUUGUAUACGGAACACGUAGUGGGCAUGGAUCUAACGAUUCUUGUUUGCCCUCAUAUUAGCGUAACGCUUCUCUAACACGACUUGCACCACGUUUUAGCUCGUACGGACGUGGUG